CAGUAGCCACGGGAAUACGAAGGGGGCUAGCGUUGCUCGGAAUCACUGGGCGUAAAGGGUGCGUAGGCGGGUCUUUAAGUCAGGGGUGAAAUCCUGGAGCUCAACUCCAGAACUGCCUUUGAUACUGAAGAUCUCGAGUUCGGGAGAGGUGAGUGGAACUGCGAGUGUAGAGGUGAAAUUCGUAGAUAUUCGCAAGAACACCAGUGGCGAAGGCGGCUCACUGGCCCGAUACUGACGCUGAGGCACGAAAGCGUGGGGAGCAAGCAGGAUUAGAUACCCGCGUAGUCCCUGUCUCUUAUAC
rnacentral:rRNA from 1 species